CCUACGGGAGGCAGCAGUGGGGGAUAUUGCACAAUGGGGGGAACCCUGAUGCAGCGACGCCGCGUGGGUGAAGAAGCGCCUCGGCGCGUAAAGCCCUGUCAGCAGGGAAGAAAAUGACGGUACCUGAAGAAGAAGCCCCGGCUAACUACGUGCCAGCAGCCGCGGUAAUACGUAGGGGGCAAGCGUUAUCCGGAUUUACUGGGUGGAAAGGGGGCGCAGACGGCGAUGCAAGCCAGGAGUGAAAGCCCGGGGCCCAACCCCGGGAAUGCUUUUGGAACUGCGUGGCUGGAGUGCAGGAGGGGCAGGCGGAAUUCCUGGUGUAGCGGUGAAAUGCGUAGAUAUCAGGAGGAACACCGGUGGCGAAGGCGGCCUGCUGGACUGCAACUGACGUUGAGGCCCGAAAGCGUGGGGAGCAAACAGGAUUAGAUACCCGAGUAGUC
rnacentral:rRNA from 1 species